GUCUGAGCCAGCAGUGGCAACCUCCUGGGCCUCUUCGGCGCUGUGGGAUGUUUGUUCUUUAACUCCUUGCAGUAAAUCUUGCUGCUGCUCACUUUUUGGGUCUACACUGCCUUUAUGAGCUGUUAAUACUCACCUCGAAGGUUUGCAGCUUCACUCCUGAAGCUAGGGAGACCACGAACCCACCGGGAGGAACAAACAACUCCAGAUGCGGCGCUCCGCCUUGAGAGCUGUAACACUCACCGCGAAGGUCCGCAGUUUCACUCCUGAGCCAGCGAGACCACGAACCCACCAGAAGGAAGAAACUCCGAACACAUCCGAACAUCAGAAGGAACAAACUCCAGACACGCCGCCUUUAAGAACUGUAACACUCACCGCGAGGGUUCGCGGCUUCAUUCUUUAAGUCAGUGAGACCGAGAACCCACCAAUUCCGGACACAGAGGAAAGUUUAGAAGAAAUCCCCUUCCACCCCUGCCCCCGGUGCCAAACUUGGAAGAAUGACUUCAUGGAUGGAAAGUCUCACUCUGUCACCCAGGCUGGAGUGCAGUGGUGCAAUCUUGGCUGACUUCAACCUCCGCCUCGUGAAUUCAAGUGAUUCUCCUGCCUCAGGCUCCCGAGCAGCUGGAACUAUAGGCACGCACCACCACGCCCAGCUAAUUUUUGUAUUUUUAGUAGAGAUGUGGUUUCACCAUAUUGGCCAGGCUGGUCUUGAACUCCUAACCUCAUGAUCCACCUGCCUUAGCCUCCCAAAGUGCUGGGAUUACAGGCAUGAGCCACCAUGCCUGGCCUAUAAGCAUUUUCAUUCGAUGCUCUCAAUGAGCCCAAAAGACAAUAAUGUGAUCCCUAUUUUACAGAUAAAAAUACGAAGGCAAGAAGGAUGAAAUAAUCUUUCAUUGCUAAGAAGUAAGAUAAUACAGAUUUGAACCCAGGGAGGCCAAGUGCAGAGCCAAGCUCCUAGCCAUUUGACAAUACUGCUAUAUUGAGCAAUUUCUCUUCACUAUAUCAAAAAUUAAUAUUUGCUGAGAAUUUUAGCCUCUACUUGUGAAAAAAAGUCAUAACGCAUAAAAUCUCAAGAUAUCAUAUCCAGACCUCUUCUAGUAUAACAAGGGAAAAGGAAAGGCUGAUAUGAUAAAGGUAAGCUCCAGUUUCAUAACUCAUAGAAAAGAGUAGGAAAAGAGGUUCAUUUUACCCAUGUCACUCCAUUCUCCAGGCUGGCAGAGCUAAGCACCAAGAAAAAUCCCCUUGGCUUUGAGUUCCCCUGUGGGGGAAAAGGCGAGCGGGAGGAAUCCCAGUAGCCUUUGCCGUUAAUAAUCCUGGCAGUCCUUGCUGCUGGCUGUGGACCCAUGGCCUUAACCAUCCAGGACCCCUGCAGUCUUUGCUGAUUAGAUCCCAGCUGUUGAAGCCACCUAAACUGCAUCUUGCUGCACCUUCCUGGAGCUGGAGCUUUCCCAGUCCAAGGAGAUUUAACAGAGUCAAAUGUUAAUCUCCUUUGGCAACAUCCUCACAGACACACCCAGGAACAAUACUUCACAUCUUUCAAUCCAAUCAAGUUGACAUGCAAUAUUAACCGUCACUUUACCCAAAGUGAUAUACAGAUUCAGUGUAAUCCCUAUGAAAAUCACAGUGGCUUUCUUUUCAGAAAUGGAAAAAUAAUUCUACAAUUUGCAUGACACUACCAAAGACCCCAAAUAGCCAAAGCAGUUUUGAGCAAGAAGAAUGAUGGUGGAGGCAUAUAUUUCCUGAUUUUGAAAUAUAUUACAAAGCUACAGUAAUGAAAACAGUAUGGUAGUGGCAAAAACAAACCAAAAACAGAUGUAUAGACUAAUGAAAUAGAACAUGGUAUAUAUACAUACACACAUACACACACACAUACAUACAAUGGAAGAUUAUUCAGCCUUAAAAAUAAGGAAAUCUUGCAACUUUUGACAAAAUGGAUGAAUCUGGAGGACAGUGUACUAAGUAAAAUAAGCCAAGCACAGAAAGACAAAUAUUGCAUGAUCUUACAUAUAUUCAGAAUAGGAAAUAGUCAAACUCAUAGAAGCAGAGGGUAGAGUGGUAGUUAUUAAGGCCUGGAAGGAAGGGAAAAUGAGGUGAUGUUGGUCAAAGGGUAUGAAGUUCCAGUUUCACAAGGUGAACAGUUUGACACUUGAAAUUUGCAAAGAAGGUGGAUAUUAAGUGUUUUACACACACACACAGACACACACACAGAAAAUGUUAAUUUUGUGAGAUAUUGGAUAUGUUAAUUAGCUUGAAUGUGGUAAUCAUUUCACAAUAUAUACAUAUAUCAAAGCAUCAAGUUGUACACUUAAAUAUAUGCAAUUUUUAUUUGUCAAAUAUACCUUAAUAAAGAUAUUAAAAAAGAAAACAACAUCAAUCAUUUUGGAAGAAAUUUGGGCACUGAUACGGUUUGGCUGUGUCCCCAUCCAAAUCUCAUCUUGAAUUCCUGCAUGUUGUGGGAGGGACCCAGUGGGAGGUAACUGAAUCAUGGGGGCAAGUCUUUCUUGUGCUGUUCUCGUGAUAGUGAAUACAUCUCACCAGAUGUGAUGGUUUUAUAAAGAGGAGUUCUCCUGCACAAGUUCUCUCUCUUUGCCUGCUACCAUCCAUGUAAGAUGUGACUGCUCCUCCUUGCCUUCCACCCUGAUUGUGAGGCCUCCCCACCCAUGUGGAACUGUAAGUCCAUUAAACCUCUUUUCUUUUGUAAAUUGCCCAGGCUUGGGUAUGUCUUUAUCAGUGGUGUGAAAACGGACUA